rnacentral:rRNA from 1 species
AUUGAACGCUGGCGGCAUGCUUUACACAUGCAAGUCGAACGGUAACAGGUUAAGCUGACGAGUGGCGAACGGGUGAGUAAUGCAUCGGAACGUGCCCGAUCGUGGGGGAUAACGCAGCGAAAGCUGCGCUAAUACCGCAUACGAUCUGAGGAUGAAAGCGGGGGACCGUAAGGCCUCGCGCGAUCGGAGCGGCCGAUGUCAGAUUAGGUAGUUGGUGGGGUAAAGGCGCACCAAGCCGACGAUCUGUAGCUGGUCUGAGAGGACGACCAGCCACACUGGGGCUGAGACACGGCCCAGACUCCUACGGGAGGCAGCAGUGGGGAAUUUUGGACAAUGGGCGAAAGCCUGAUCCAGCAAUGCCGCGUGCAGGAAGAAGGCCUUCGGGUUGUAAACUGCUUUUGUACGGAGCGAAAAGGCUCUCUCUAAUACAGGGGGCUCAUGACGGUACCGUAAGAAUAAGCACCGGCUAACUACGUGCCAGCCGCCGCUGUAA